rnacentral:rRNA from 1 species
GUCUUUCAAGUCCGAUGCUAAAGACUGGGGCUCAACCCCAGGGGUGCGUUGGAUACUGUGAGGCUAGACGGUCGGAGGGGGUAGCGGAAUUUCCGGAGUAGCGGUGAAAUGCGCAGAUACCGGAAGGAACGCCAAUAGCGAAGGCAGCUACCUGGACGACUUGUGACGCUGAGGCGCGAAAGCGUGGGGAGCAAACCGGAUUAGAUACCCGGGUAGUCCACGCCCUAAACCAUGAGUGCUGGGUGUCCGGCUUCUGCUGGGUGCCGUAGCUAACGCGCUAAGCACUCCGCCUGGGAAGUACGCACGCAAGCGUGAAACUCAAAGGAAUUGACGGGGGCCCGCACAAGCGGUGGAGCAUGUGGUUUAAUUCGAAGCGACGCGAAGAACCUUACCAGGCCUUGACAUGCCCGGAACCCCUCUGAAAGGAGGGGGUGCCCGCAAGGGAGCCGGGACACAGGUGCUGCAUGGCCGUCGUCAGCUCGUGUCGUGAGAUGUUGGGUUAAGUCCCGCAACGAGCGCAACCCCUAUCCCUAGUUGCCAGCAGUUCGGCUGGGCACUCUAUGGAGACUGCCUGCGAAAGCAGGAGGAAGGCGGGGAUGACGUCUGGUCCGCAUGGCCCUUACGGCCUGGGCGACACACGUGCUACAACGCCAAGGACAGAGCGCUGCUACCUCGCGAGAGGACGCCAAUCGCAAAAACCUUGGCUCAGUUCGGAUUGGAGUCUGCAACUCGACUCCAUGAAGCCGGAAUCGCUAGUA